GGCAAGAUGGCCGAGUGGUUAAGGCGAUGGAUUCAAGCAUUUCAAUAUUCCUUGGCCUCAGGAAAACUGAGGACAUGCUUCCCAUUGGAGCAAUCCGCAGGGGUUCGAAUCCCCUUCUUGUCA
rnacentral:tRNA from 1 species